AGAACGAACGCUGGCGGCAUGCCUAAUACAUGCAAGUCGAACGAACUCUUCGGAGUUAGUGGCGCACGGGUGCGUAACGCGUGGGAAUCUGCCCCUUGGUUCGGAAUAACAGUUGGAAACGACUGCUAAUACCGGAUGAUGACGAAAGUCCAAAGAUUUAUCGCCAAGGGAUGAGCCCGCGUAGGAUUAGCUAGUUGGUGAGGUAAAGGCUCACCAAGGCAACGAUCCUUAGCUGGUCUGAGAGGAUGAUCAGCCACGCUGGGACUGAGACACGGCCCAGACUCCGUACGGGAGGCAGCAGUAGGGAAUAUUGGACAAUGGGACGAAAGCCUGAUCCAGCAAUGCCGCGUGAGUGAUGAAGGCCGUUAGGUGUAAGCUCUUUACCCGAGAUGAUAAUGACAGUAGACGGAGAAUAACGCCCCGACUAACCUCCGCGCCAGCGAGCCCGAC
rnacentral:rRNA from 1 species